GGGCGGUUGGCGCAAUGGUAGCGCGUUGGUUUUCGGCAGAGAUACACCAAAGGCUGUGUGUUCGAGCCCCAUGCUGCUCG
rnacentral:tRNA from 1 species